GACGAACGCUGGCGGCGUGCUUAACACAUGCAAGUCGAACGGGAAGGCCCUGCUUUUGUGGGGUGCUCGAGUGGCGAACGGGUGAGUAACACGUGAGUAACCUGCCCUUGACUUUGGGAUAACUUCAGGAAACUGGGGCUAAUACCGGAUAGGAGCUCCUGCUGCAUGGUGGGGGUUGGAAAGUUUCGGCGGUUGGGGAUGGACUCGCGGCUUAUCAGCUUGUUGGUGGGGUAGUGGCUUACCAAGGCUUUGACGGGUAGCCGGCCUGAGAGGGUGACCGGCCACAUUGGGACUGAGAUACGGCCCAGACUCCUACGGGAGGCAGCAGUGGGGAAUAUUGCACAAUGGGCGGAAGCCUGAUGCAGCAACGCCGCGUGCGGGAUGACGGCCUUCGGGUUGUAAACCGCUUUCGCCUGUGACGAAGCGUGAGUGACGGUAAUGGGUAAAGAAGCACCGGCUAACUACGUGCCAGCAGCCGCGGUGAUACGUAGGGUGCGAGCGUUGUCCGGAUUUAUUGGGCGUAAAGGGCUCGUAGGUGGUUGAUCGCGUCGGAAGUGUAAUCUUGGGGCUUAACCCUGAGCGUGCUUUCGAUACGGGUUGACUUGAGGAAGGUAGGGGAGAAUGGAAUUCUUGGUGGAGCGGUGGAAUGCGCAGAUAUCAGGAGGAACACCAGUGGCGAAGGCGGUUCUCUGGGCCUUUCCUGACGCUGAGGAGCGAAAGCGUGGGGAGCGAACAGGCUUAGAUACCCUGGUAGUCCACGCUGUAAACGGUGGGUACUAGGUGUGGGGUCCAUUCCACGGGUUCCGUGCCGUAGCUAACGCUUUAAGUACCCCGCCUGGGGAGUACGGCCGCAAGGCUAAAACUCAAAGGAAUUGACGGGGCCCCGCACAAGCGGCGGAGCAUGCGGAUUAAUUCGAUGCAACGCGUAGAACCUUACCUGGGUUUGACAUGGAUCGGGAGCGCUCAGAGAUGGGUGUGCCUCUUUUGGGGUCGGUUCACAGGUGGUGCAUGGCUGUCGUCAGCUCGUGUCGUGAGAUGUUGGGUUAAGUCCCGCAACGAGCGCAACCCUUGUUCACUGUUGCCAGCACGUUAUGGUGGGGACUCAGUGGAGACCGCCGGGGUCAACUCGGAGGAAGGUGGGGAUGACGUCAAGUCAUCAUGCCCCUUAUGUCCAGGGCUUCACGCAUGCUACAAUGGCUGGUACAGAGAGUGGCGAGCCUGUGAGGGUGAGCGAAUCUCGGAAAGCCGGUCUCAGUUCGGAUUGGGGUCUGCAACUCGACCUCAUGAAGUCGGAGUCGCUAGUAAUCGCAGAUCAGCAACGCUGCGGUGAAUACGUUCCCGGG
rnacentral:rRNA from 1 species